GGCACGGUAGCCAAGUGGUAAGGCAGGAGUCUGCAAAACUCUUAUACGUCGGUUCAAUUCCGACCCGUGCCUCCA
rnacentral:tRNA from 1 species